GGGGGUGUGGCGCAAUGGUAGCGUAUGUUUAAUUCAUUCUUUCUUGCAACAGGUCGUAACUAACUAAGGUGAUAGGCGUCAGAUUCCAGUAAUAUGGGAUUUCCUGAAGGCUAUGUGUUCAAAUCACAUCAUCCUCA